CUCGCACUGCUCUCUCUGAUUCUAAAUCUUCAAAUGUUCGUUACGGCGCUCUCACCUACCGUGUGACCAUGACUACUAAACAUUACCUUUCUUAUUACUCAAUCGAUAUCAGUUCUGUGAUAAUCUUACAGUUUGGCCAUUCUGACUGCUUUAUUCGUCUUCGAAUGGACUAUAAGAAAGAAAUGAAGAUGGUGAUGUGGAAAUAGACGAGGAUAUCGACUAUGCACUACCUGUAUACCUUAACAAACUUGCAUCAGAAAAGGAUAGUUCUGACGAAGUUGGAGCCAAUGAUAAUGAUUUUCAACAAAAUGAAGAUGUUACAGAAGGAUCGGAUUUGAGUAGUAAAUGAUGAUAUUAACGAUUAUAUGAUUAAUAUGGACGUAAAAGACAAACGUGACAUAAAUCAAGAAAUCCAGGAUGACAAUGAGGACUUCCAAAAUAGAGAUCGAAAUUUCAAUGAACAUAAUAUAGAAAAUGUAUUCAAUGAUGAGGUUUAUGAUAUUGCAAAUUAAUUGAAUACUGGAAGAAUUAAGAAUUAUUUCCUAUAGUAUUUUACUAAU
rnacentral:lncRNA from 13 species